rnacentral:lncRNA from 1 species
UGGUAAUCCAACAUUAGGAGUAACGUGCACCGCACACUGACAUCACCAGGUCUUUUCACCUGGAAGCCAUCAGUCUCCUGAGUUGUGGGAGUUCUGUGCCACUCCACAAGAUGGUUGUCAGGUCCAUAAAGAUCUUUAUCCAGUUCAAUGACUAAACUCUUAAAAAAGGAUGAAAACUUUCGUUUCUGUUUGCUGAGGUCAUCCAGGAGCUUCCCCUCCACACGAAGCUCCCAUGAUGCGAUGCUGCCGUCAGAGUCAUCAGCGUCAGAUUUUGCAGGAUUAAAUGUGUUGGAGAUAUAAAGUCUCAGCUUCCGCUUUUGCUUCAUUGGCCUCUUCAGUGCUUCCUGAAUAUCCACGCGCUUCCGCAUAAUGGUCUGGUCUAGUUUGCGUUCAAAAGCCAGCAGAUCCAUGUAGGCCUGGGACUCAGGAACCAACUCCCGGAUCCUCUGAGGGAGAAUUUUGUCAGCCAUCUUCCUCCUCUUGGCACUCCUAGUUCGGUUCUGAGUAGCUUGCUGCUGCUGCUGCACUUGCUGCUGCACCUGCUGUUGUUGGACCUGCUGUGGUGCAGUGCGUUUUCUUGUUGUUUCCAUCACAGUCUGGGGCAUCCCAGGUCUCACCGAGGGGCUUCCAACAUAUGGAGGGCCUGGGGGACCCAUGGGAGCCCCCUGGUGGGGCAUUCGAGCUCCUGAUGGCAUCCCAGGUCGCUGUGCCAGGCUAGGCAGAUGGCAA